rnacentral:rRNA from 1 species
AACGAACGCUGGCGGCAUGCCUAACACAUGCAAGUCGAACGAGGGCUUCGGCCCUAGUGGCGCACGGGUGAGUAACGCGUGGGAACCUGCCCUGUGGUACGGAAUAACUCCGGGAAACUGGAGCUAAUACCGUAUGUGUCCUUUGGGACAAAGAUUUAUCGCCAUGGGAUGGGCCCGCGUAGGAUUAGCUUGUUGGUGGGGUAACGGCCUACCAAGGCAACGAUCCUUAGCUGGUCUGAGAGGAUGAUCAGCCACACUGGGACUGAGACACGGCCCAGACUCCUACGGGAGGCAGCAGUGGGGAAUAUUGGACAAUGGGCGCAAGCCUGAUCCAGCAAUGCCGCGUGAGUGAUGAAGGCCUUCGGGUUGUAAAGCUCUUUCGCACGCGACGAUGAUGACGGUAGCGUGAGAAGAAGCCCCGGCUAACUUCGUG